GGGAGUUCACAAUAAUACAGGAACAUCCAAGGAGAGCAUAUACCAAAGCAGUAGUGAAGCAAAAAAGGGGAAUGUGAGAUCGUAUUGGUCCUGUACAAAACAAAGAUAAGACUGCAGUUGUGAUACUGUGUACAGCUGUGGUGUUCAUGAAGAAGAAAAACAUUAAGCACAGAAGGGAGGGCAGAGGUGUGCAACCAAAGAGAUUAGAGGUUUACAUGGAAUGAAGAAUGUGGUGAUACUGAAAAAUGUGGCAAGGGAAUGACGUGAUACAAAAUGUAUGCCAAUAGGCACAGGUCUGAAAAUAAAAGAUGGCUAAAGGGACCAAAAUAGUAAACUGUGGACUUCCAGUACUUGACAGGCAUUAAGCAGCAUUUUGCCAUGGAAAUGUUGAUAAGAUCCUGUAAUUCAUUGUUGCAGGAAGUGGUAAAAAAACAGAAGACAAGCUGGAAUAAUUAGAUGAAAUAAAUGAACAAUAUAAGUAUGUCUUACUGUCUCGUGUUUUGCUUCUAACUACAAAGCAUACUUACAUGUGUGUAUAUAUUCCUUUUCUGACUACAAAUGUGAAAAUAGUAUCAUAUCUUAACACUGAAAAUCUUCAGAGUUUGAUAUUCUGGCCAUCAGAGAAAACACUGCAUGUUUGGAUAACAGCAACUGGAAAUUCCAGAGUGUGUUAAUAUUACACAGUCUCCUCCCCCAUGUAGUUUACUGAACCGGAAGGCAAACAGACAUACGCUUUGCCUCGACAGAGAGAGAAAGACAGAGAGUAAGAGGCAAUAUUUACUAGAGUUGAAACAGCUCAGAGAACUUCACACUAAACUGACAAUUUCAGAUACCUGAGGUUUGCAGAUUAAAAAGAGGGUAACUGUAUUCUCCUUGCCACGUAGUACAGCUGGAACAUAACUUGACACCAUGAGUUCAACUGUUCAGUUACCAAAUGGGGUUGUUGUCAUGACUAUAGUCUAUCCUCAGACUGGAGCUGGAAGUCUCACGGAGAAAAAAGAACCAAACAUUCCCA